rnacentral:rRNA from 1 species
GACGAACGCUGGCGGCGUGCUUAACACAUGCAAGUCGAACGGAAAGGCCCUGCUUUUGUGGGGUGCUCGAGUGGCGAACGGGUGAGUAACACGUGAGUAACCUGCCCUUGACUUUGGGAUAACUUCAGGAAACUGGGGCUAAUACCGGAUAGGAGCUCCUGCUGCAUGGUGGGGGUUGGAAAGUUUCGGCGGUUGGGGAUGGACUCGCGGCUUAUCAGCUUGUUGGUGGGGUAGUGGCUUACCAAGGCUUUGACGGGUAGCCGGCCUGAGAGGGUGACCGGCCAAAAUGGGACUGGGGAACGGGCCAAAAACCUUAGGGAAGCAAGAGGGGGGAAUAAUGCAACAAGGGCGGAAGCCUGAUGCAGGAAAGGCGGGGGCGGGAAGAAGGGCUUCGGGUUGGAAACCGCUUUCGCCUGGGAAGAAGCGGGAGGGAAGGGAAAGGGGUAAGAAGCAACGGCUAACUAAGUG